rnacentral:rRNA from 1 species
AACGAACGCUGGCGGCAUGCCUAACACAUGCAAGUCGAACGAGACCUUCGGGUCUAGUGGCGCACGGGUGCGUAACGCGUGGGAACCUGCCCUUAGGUUCGGAAUAACUCCCCGAAAGGGGUGCUCAUACCGGAUAAUGUCUUCGGACCAAAGAUUUAUCGCCUUUGGAUGGGCCCGCGUUGGAUUAGCUAGUUGGUAGGGUAAAAGCCUACCAAGGCGACGAUCCAUAGCUGGUCUGAGAGGAUGAUCAGCCACACUGGGACUGAGACACGGCCCAGACUCCUACGGGAGGCAGCAGUGGGGAAUAUUGGACAAUGGGCGAAAGCCUGAUCCAGCAAUGCCGCGUGAGUGAUGAAGGCCGUAGGGUUGUAAAGCUCUUUUACCCGGGAUGAUAAUGACAGUACCGGGAGAAUAAGCUCCGGCUAACUCCGUG